CGGACUAUACUCAAGAAAAGUUGCAGGAUCUCUUCUACAAGUAAAAAACUGACACUAGUAAAAGGCCAUCAUAUAGACCAUAACUCCUGCUUAUACAUGCAUAUCAAGACACUGAAGUUGAAAAGGCACUAAUAAAAUUAAAACUGACUGUUCCAACAUUCAAAAUUAGAGGCAGUAAUCAGCUUCCUUGAAGCUAAACUUUUUCCCACAAGUAUUCACUUGCAGUAUAAUAUUCUAGUAACAUUGGGGGCCAAACGCAUAACGAUCACACAAAUAAUAAAUUUGUAGCAAAAAAGAAGAUAUUCCCAAAAAACUGGAGUAUUCAUUCAAUUUAUCUCUCACACAAACUUUCUAGAUCACUGUAGGCACAGAACCAUAGGUAACUUUAACUAUAGAGAUUUACAAUAAAAAGAAAACAUUAAUAACCAAAUGUUCAGCUCGAAUCAACAACCAUAAACCUUAAGUCAUGGAUUUGAAUUGUCAUCAAAUAUACUCCCUAGUAUUCAAGAAAUGGGGACUAUACUCAAGAAAAGUAAAAAAAGAUCUUGUGGAAGUGGAAAAUUGAUACUUUAAAAGGGGUUGCUUAGACAUGCCUAUAGAGACAGUGAGGUUGGAAGAAUACUAAUAAAAUUAAAUUGGCUGUUCCAACAAUCAAGUCAGAGGCAUUAAUUAGCUCCCUGUGCACCAAAACUCCAAUCCAAGAAUGGUUUCUACAAUCCACGAGUCUUCAAUCGCAGUUUAAUAUGCUAGUGCUAUUGGGGGGCCAAAUACAUAACAAUCUUAUAAAUACUGCAAAUGAAGCAAAAAGAUGACACUUCCGAAAACUGGAGUAUUUAUUCAAUUUAUCUCACACAGACUUUUCCGGAUCGCUCUAGGCACAAAAGCAUAGGUAGAUCAACAAUAGCAAUUUACAAAAAAAAAAGAAGAAGAAGAAGAAGAAGAAGAAAAGAGAAGAACAUCAAUAACCAAAUGUUCGGACUUCGGCUCAAGUAACAAUAACGACAAAAUUAGUCAUGGAUUCAAAUUUCAUAAGAUACACUUUCUUCGUCCCACUCAAACUGGCUUAUUUGGAUUUCUUGGUCGAAUUGACUGUUUUUGUUAUUCAAAUCAUGUGAUAUAUACAUUUUACAAAAACAAUGGUUUAAAAUAUUUAAUUUGAAAUUAAAAAAAAAGGAAGCUAGUUUGAGUUGGACAAAGGGAGUAAUUGGCAUACUCUAAUUUUAAAUGCCUUUCCUAAUAAAUUUGAACAGGUUUUACCAGUUGAUAGGGUGGAUGGAUUAUAUUAAAUACCAAGUCCAAAAGUAUUACAACACCCAAGCAUCUGACCGACUAAAUAUUAGCUCCCGUCCACACACUUUUCACUUCUUUUCAUCUAAAGCUGAACUGCCACAUUUACAUGUAUGCAUUCUUCUACACAGGAUACUUCGACAAAAAGAAAUUAACAUAUAUAAGGUCGGGUUUCGCGUGAUGGUUGGGUGUUUCUUGAUAUCCGCUAGAUCAGGGGUUUAAAACCCCUGAAGCGACCUGCUGCUUAAUUAGGGAUCCUUUCCUAGGUCAUAUUGAUGUAGCAGUCUUGUGUAUGGGCACGACCUUUGAUAUAGCAAGGGACAAAAUAUAGAUUGGUUGUCACAGAUGGCUAGAGCCUAGAAGAUUGGUGAAAUAAAUAAAAAAUCUACAAACUCCAGUAGGUGAGACCUUAGGCAAAAUCGAUACUCUCAGCUACAAUUUACAUGCAAUCCAGACCAAAGAGUCAGAGAAGUCGGAAUUUGGAAGAGAGUUGACAGAGACAGUUCGAUCCCAAAAAUACAGGAAGCUGCAAUUUGAAUGUAAUGUUUUAAAAACAGAGUAAAAGGCACGAGACUUUAAUUAAAUGUUUUUGACUUGCAACAAGGAGCCAAGACCGGGACUCCAUAAUCAAACAAUUCAUCUUGGACUCCUCAAGUCUCAACCCAAGCCAAUCAAAAAAUAAGUGUGUCCUCACACGAUUGCACUAUCCCUAGUUUCACACGAACCACGGGGCUAAUACAAUCUAAGGCAUUUAAUCCAUUUAGAUGUUUUAUAAACCACGAAAGCAUUUAGAUUUGGUAAGAUAUCCCAUUCAGGAUAUGAGUACAUGACUUCCUAAAGAAUGAGGUCAAGUCAUGGCGAAACUGCAAUUAACUAGUUCUCAACGAAGCUAAAAGUCAAGAGAUAAGCUCAAUACUUAUUACUUAUCCUUUAAAAUAUGGAUGCUUGCUUCAAACUGAGCUUGUAAAGAUAAUCUCAACUUUAUGUGGAAUGUUACCUGGAACAGAUAGAUUAACCAGACCUGAAAAGAGAUGAGGAAAACAAAAGAUUAGUUAUAUUAAUAUUUUAUUAAUGUGGAAAUCUUAUUUGGUUCAAUUUCCAAAAUAUCAAUAACAAGAAGAAAAAAAAUUACAAACACCAAAUACAAGAUAGUUUAGUUGCUGUAAUCUUUAUAUCUAGAAUGUGUCCUCAGUCCUCACUGACUAAUUAACAUAGCUAAAUCUUGUUCACUGAUGAACGAUGAUAAUGAGAUUAGUAAAUAAUAUAGAUAACAUGAGCAGAGAGAAGUAGCAGCAUCUAGAUUUUAAAGGUGUUCCUCUGUCCCUAUAUACCGAGUAAUCCUCCUAAAUGCAUCAAUUUUCUCUUUUACUAGACUCUAAGUUGUUUAUAUAGUAACAUUAAGAACCACGCACUGGUCAAGACAAGUCUAUAUAUCAUGUGCUAGUCCUAAUGAUAAUAGCUAGAGUAGAUAAUAAGUUAAAACAACUUCUACAAAUGAAAAAACCAAGAUUAGUCAUCAGUAUAUAUAUACGAAGCAUAUAGAAGAAAAUAUGAAUGUUACCCACACUCAGUUGGGGCUGUGGGUGUCGAACAUUGGUAAAAAUCAACUCGACAUAUACUUAAAUUUCAAAAAAUAUUAGAAUCUAGAACUGGACAAGAAUGCCGGAACUCAGGAUGCAAGGGUAACCCAUAAAAUUUUAUAUAUUCUUAAUUUUUGGACCAUUGGAAAUAUAAUCUAUUACCCCCAAAUAAGAUGGACUUGCAUCUAUAUAAAAAUAUAUGACACAUAUUUUCAAAAAAAUAAUUCAAAAACGAGUUGCCUAGGGGCCUUCAGUUACUAUAUAUGAUUGCCUAGGGGCCUUCAGUUACUAUAUAUAAUUGCCUAGGGGCAUCUAAAUCUUUAUAGAAAUUCCCAGAUAUACUUGUCAAAAUUGAACAUUCUACACGAUCAGGCAGAUUAUCAUCCAGAAUUGAACUAUCAGUUGAUAAUAUUUUUCCAAAUAAAUGACUUCUUAGUCAAUUCCCUCAACUUGUACCGGCUAGUAAGAAGUAUACAAAUUAUCUAUGGGUAUGCUGGGAUAUAAAGAUUUUAUUUCAAAUGAUGUUUUUCUUCCAAACGAUUUUGGAUUUAGAUUAGAUAAAGAGCACCUAAAUAUCAAUUUAAAAUGACAACACAAUUCACGAACAACUCCACAUUUAACACAAUUAUAUGAUAUUUCACAAUGACAUAGGUAAUUGUCACAAAAUUCACAAAUUAGGCCCUAAAUGUUGAUAACUAUCACUAUAAUACAUAAAAUUUAACAAAAAUCUAAACUUAAAAGAUGAGCACCAUAACAUUAUUAAGUCAAUANCAAUCAAAAAAUAAGUGUGUCCUCACACGAUUGCACUAUCCCUAGUUUCACACGAACCACGGGGCUAAUACAAUCUAAGGCAUUUAAUCCAUUUAGAUGUUUUAUAAACCACGAAAGCAUUUAGAUUUGGUAAGAUAUCCCAUUCAGGAUAUGAGUACAUGACUUCCUAAAGAAUGAGGUCAAGUCAUGGCGAAACUGCAAUUAACUAGUUCUCAACGAAGCUAAAAGUCAAGAGAUAAGCUCAAUACUUAUUACUUAUCCUUUAAAAUAUGGAUGCUUGCUUCAAACUGAGCUUGUAAAGAUAAUCUCAACU
rnacentral:lncRNA from 1 species